CCUACGGGCGGCAACAGUGGGGAAUAUUGGACAAUGGGCGAAAGCCUGAUCCAGCCAUGCCGCGUGUGUGAAGAAGGCCUUCGGGUUGUAAAGCACUUUCAGUGGGGAAGAAAGCCUUGGGGCUAAUACCCUCGAGGAAGGACAUCACCCACAGAAGAAGCACCGGCUAACUCCGUGCCAGCAGCCGCGGUAAUACGGAGGGUGCGAGCGUUAAUCGGAAUUACUGGGCGUAAAGCGCGCGUAGGCGGUCUGAUAAGCCGGUUGUGAAAGCCCCGGGCUCAACCUGGGAACGGCAUCCGGAACUGUCAGGCUAGAGUGCAGGAGAGGAAGGUAGAAUUCCCGGUGUAGCGGUGAAAUGCGUAGAGAUCGGGAGGAAUACCAGUGGCGAAGGCGGCCUUCUGGACUGACACUGACGCUGAGGUGCGAAAGCGUGGGUAGCAAACAGGAUUAGAUACCCUAGUAGUC
rnacentral:rRNA from 1 species